ACAUAAGUAGACUUAUUUAAACAUAUCCAUAUAAGGUAGUGUUCCCGACCUAUCUAAAAAUUGGUUUUCCACAAAAGGUGUCAUAUUUUUCUACUUUCUACUUUAACUUACAACUUAAAGAAGAUAAUCAUGGACGUUCUACUGAGGUUCAGCAUAUGUUUAAUGUUUUAUCAUUUACCAGCUGUGGAAUCUGUACAUAGAAAACUUCUGUUUCCAAGUAACCAGUCAAUUUUGGAAUUUGAUGUUGAUACGGCCAUUGUGACUGUGCUUGUUGGACAUGGAGGAAGUGUUGUGUAUUCUUUGGACUACGACUACGAAAACAGAAAUGUUUAUUUUCCAAGACAUUCAUUUUCGGAUAUUGUGCGAUUUCCAUAUCCCUCCAAGAACAUAACAUUACAACAUGUUGUGAAUUCAUCGACUCCAGCAGGUGUGGCUGUUGAUUCCGCAAAUGACCAUGUCUACUGGGUUAAUGGUUAGAUGACAAACUUUUUAGAUGCAAAACAGACGGAACAAACAUAGUUGUUGUAUCUACAGAUUUAAGCAACGCUUUUAUGAUACGACUAGAUCUUACAAACAGAUGGAUGUAUAUAGGAUACCCCAAUGCAGGAAUAUUCAAGUUCAGAUUCAAUUUAACUGAUACUCGUAAGAUUGCAAACUUUACCGUUUGGACUCACUGUAUGGAUAUAGACCUGACUGAACAAAGACUGUAUUGGAUUGACUUCUCUAAUGAAAUAAAAUCAGUUAAUGUGGAUGGUUCUGAUGUUAAAACAAUCUAUUCAAUGUAUUAUUUAAAAUACAACUGUGCUAUAGGUGUUUUGGGUAGUUAUAUAUACUAUGUUGAGGAUGCCACUAGGUUAGUUAUGAUGGAUAGAUCACAAGGACCCACACCGACUGUCCUUUAUACCGAUACCAGCACCAUUCAUAGCCUAUAUGUGUUUAAUUCAACAGGUAUGUUCACAACCUUAAAAUAAAAUUCUUGAAAUGACUAGAGAAGAACUUGUUUUCGUUAUGAUUUCUUUGAUAAUGUACUAAACUUAACUUGAAAAUAAGCAAAAGGAGGUUGAUACAUUAUCAUAGAAAAGGAAAACUUACUGACGUAAAGUAUUUGUUACUCAAAGAUGCAACACUCGUCCCUUAGUUGUAUCCAUUAUUAAUUGUAUGGAAUAAACGACAAGUACAAACAAAAUGCACGACAAAGCUAAUUGAAAAAAUGUUCCAAUCGCAAGUUAAGGUUUCAUAUGUAAUUUGAUUUUAUUAGACUGUAAAAUAAUUAAAUUAGUCUGAUAUAAAAUUAUGUAGUUUUUCUAUUCAUAUUUUGAGACAUGUUGAUAAGUGUUGUAUCUAUAGCUUUGGCUUACCUGUAUUCAUUUUAACUUUUUUGUUGUGAAUUGUUUGUUGCUUAGUUAUUGUAUGCAAUAUUAUCAACAGUUUUUCAAUCAUAUAAUUGUAUAUGCUUUUGUAUUAUCGACAACUCCUAUACAUUAAUUGAUAAAUUGUGUUUUCAUAUUCUUUUAACAUAUGCCGCCAAUGACAACUACUAUAUUUAUUUAAAAUCAUUAACUGUAUAUCUGCAUUUAACAUUCUCUAGCUAUUGAUAUAAAGACGGCUUCAAUUUUUGUUAACAUAAAACGCCAAUGAAAACUACUAGUACUGUACCUUUUUAAAAAGUAUAUGUCUGCAUUUCAUUACGUUUAUUUUAAGUAAUUUUGUUUACGAGUUUGACUUCAUAACAUUAGAAAAUCUAUUAUAUAGUUAAAAAAAUGUAUUGUUCUUGUAUUUUUGAUAACGAUUAGGAUUCAUUAAAACGGGAAAUAAAGAGUUUAAAAUGCGUUUAAAUGUUUUAAAAUCAAAUUCAAAUCAAAUGCAAACCAUUAGUCUUUUUGAGUAUUUUCUGAAAGGUUUUUUUUUUAUUUAUCGUUUCAGAAGUAUUUUUUUUUUCAAAGUAAGAACUAAAGAGAGCCCUAUAUAAAACAAAUAAAAAAAUUCACAUCAACAUAAUUAUUUAGUGAGAUAAAUAAUUGUAUUUUUUACAUAUUAACGUAUCUCAUUGAUGUAUGAAUGAGUUGGUUUGGUAGGACGCAACAGAAUCAAGAUGGACGAAUUGAGACCUAUGAUUGUAUUGAUAAUGACUGAAAAUUGUGUCUUUACCACUGUUGAUAUUGCCACUUAAAAUCUGGACUGUGUACAUGAGUUGUUAGUACGGAAGUAUUACAUAUACCAAGGUGGUUGACACGACAACAAGAUGAAGUCGGAAUGGUAAGCUAGUCGUUUAUGUCAAAAUGUCAGACAAUAUGAGUAUAACGUCACUUUGCAUAAUAAAUAUGCACAAACUGUUACAUAAGAGGGCAUAAGCUGCUAACCACAAACGUCAUGGUGUGUAGAAAAAUGAGUGAUGCUCAAAAUUUUUCAUUUGUGGAUACAAAGACAAACACUCAAAGUUUCACAGAAAAGAAAACAUAGGUCUCAAAUUAGUAGCCUACAAAAAAAAAGUGGAGUCCCUUUCUAAAAUACGAAUUCCAGAGUGAAGUAAAAAAAUAACGACGCGUUGUUUAUAAAAGGAAACAAGGACCUAAAAUAGAUGCAUUAAAUCUUUCAAAAUGUAUGUAUUGAUGCUACAUCUUAUGUGUCUUUAGUGUAUAUAUAAUGGUAAAAAUCACCUCGUUACUUAUAUUGACAAAAGCGAACUUUCAAUAAUAGAAAGGAAGGCAGAGAACUAAAAUAAAAGAAACAUUAAUUCAGUCUCAGAUGCUAAAUACAACAUUCGUUGUUCUGAAAAUUUGUGUCGGUUCGUUCAUAUUACUCCUAGUCUUUCGACGCAGCUGUAUAGCAAACUGCAGUACCAGAAGCAGCGGUUCGAACAAAUAUUUCUUCAAAAACAACCUAUAUUGUAAAAUAUAAUGCAAAAUUUUAAAAGUCCAUCAGGGUUCUACAACAACCUCAGGUACUUAACUUCUGUGAUUCAUAUAUAGUAAAUAUGCAGUCUCCAUUUAAUUCAGUCAAUCAUAUUGCUUCGUUGUCCGGUUAUUCUUAUAUCAACGAAAAUCAAUUGAUUUUGUGUUUGUUCGUUCAGAUUACUCCUAGUCUUUCGACGCAGCUGUAUAGCAAACUGCAGUACCAGAAGCAGCGGUUCGAACAAAUAUUUCUUCAAAAACAACCUAUAUUGUAAAAUAUGAUGCAACAUUUUAAAAGUCCAUCAGGGUUCUACAACAACCUCAGGAAAAACUCAUCUAAAACAGUAUUGAUACACCAGAAGACAGCAAAGGCUUAUGAAUUGAUACGAAAGAAGGACGUUUCGUCUACAUGAGAGUCAUUGGUGAUGCUCAAUCAAAACAACAUAAUGGCGAAAUCACAUACGAAACUGAGGAGCAAUUUAAUUCUUAAAAUCCAAAAAAUGUUGUGCUAAAUAUGGCUCCGGCCAUCAAUUCAUGGGCGAAGGAGGUUUCGAGUAAUAUAACAUUUCAUUAGAAUUAUUUGAAUAAGAUCAUAACAAUUUCAAUCCUGAUAUCCUGAAAAAUGAAUUAAAUAGCUAAAGUUAAGUUCCUGUAACUAACGAUUUUGAGAGUUUCAAUGAAAUAAUCACUUUUAAAUGAACAUAAUGAUACCAUUUAUUGAUGUUAAUAUUUAAUAAAGUAUACUUUGUAUAUAA